CUCCUGGACUCAAGCGAUUCUCCUGCCUCAGGCUCCCAAGACUAUAGCGCUUGUGUAAUCAGAGAUAGGGCAGCCUGGAUUCCUGGACAGCAGGAGGAGAGACCUCAGGGUUCUACAAGACUCCACAGACCAAGUUAUCAGUGAUCAGGGAAAUUGAGGAUCAGGAGGCGCAGUGACCUGCUCCAGGUCAUGCAGAAGGAACCACCUCUGACUCCCAGCGCCCUGUUUGUCUUCCGGAGCGCUGGGGCCAGGCGGAGGAAAGUAGCUGGGAGCAAGAAGGGCUGGCAGGGCCCUGAGCGCCGAGAUGGGGAGUGAGGUGGGGAGGGCGGGAUGCUCCUUCCCUUCUCCGCAAAGGAACCCCUUCUGAUUCCGACUCUGGAGCUCCAGAGACCGGAUCCGAGACGCGGGUGGAGGUGGAGUUACACUCGCCUGCAGCCCUGAGGGUGUAAAUGGCCCAUUAAGAUCCAGGUUAAAUCAACCUAUGGAGCUGCCCCCCAGAGGGUCAGGGUCCCCACAACUUGACGGGGGUCCUCAGCCGUCUCCUCCC
rnacentral:lncRNA from 1 species